rnacentral:rRNA from 1 species
UACGGAGGAUGCGAGCGUUAUCCGGAUUUAUUGGGUUUAAAGGGUGCGUAGGCGGAUAUUUAAGUCAGCUGUGAAAGUUUGCGGCUCAACCGUAAAAUUGCAGUUGAAACUGGAUAUCUUGAGUAUAGUAAAGGUUAGCGGAAUUCGUGGUGUAGCGGUGAAAUGCUUAGAUAUCACGAAGAACUCCAAUUGCGAAGGCAGCUAACUGGACUAUAACUGACGCUGAUGCA